rnacentral:tRNA from 1 species
AAUGAAUUGCCUGAUAAAAGGAUUACCUUGAUAGGGUAAAUAAUAUAGUCUUAUAGCUAUAUUCAUUA